CCGGAGUCGUCGGCGGUACCGGCUGCCGCGGUUGGGUUUGGGCUGUAGGUGUGGGUCCGUCUUCCGUCAGGGUCUGACCGAGUUGUCGGGCUAGACCAGGCGGGGACGGGGAUCGGGCGCGGUGGCGAGAGGAGGGGCGCGGGGGAGGGGAGGGGGUGGAGGGGGAGGGUUCGGCGUCGUGCUAGGCUGGGGCGGCGGGGGAGCAGUUGGGCGCGCCGCGCUGCCACGUUCGAGACUGAGGCUGAGGCUGUCGCCGCCGCCGCUGCUCCCGCGCCGGUGGAGCAGAGCCUGGGUGGAGCAGCGGCUCAAGUUUCGCCGCGACCUUUCCUUCCACCACCUAGACCGCCUCGACGCCUCCGAGCGCACGGUCCCGCACGGACUGCUGGGGCGGCACGCCGGACAACAGACCUUCGAAGAGAACCCCAUGAACGGUUACCUAGUACGAGACACCCGCAUGCUUGACCUUUUUUUCGCCAGGGUCAUGUCACGAAAGUUUCUGCUCGAAAACCAAUUGGGAAGUCUUCAAUGGGCUUCUUACCUUUACUGAUAAAGUUUUUCCUUCCUUGUAUUAAGACUUCCUUGACCUAAAGAGGGUUCCCGCCUUUAGCAGGUCCUGCUUGUAGGAGAUUCGGAACCCUUUUGAUCACAAACCUUGGUUGUGAAGGUCCUUAGACUUUGACAUCUCGUCUAACUAUCUCUACAAUUCGCAUGAGUAGGACUCUACGUCAAAAAGUUACCGCCAAGAAGACUACGGAACAGAUUAGUCCUCAGUGACUUCGCUUAUGAAUGGUAGAAACGUUUUAAUUUGGGCCCAUAUUCUAUACAUGUUCCUUACUUACUUCAAAACCGUGGAGAGAUGAUACAGAAGUUCUUACUAGGUCUGGUUUCAUUAAGACGAAGUCGUCUCAGUCUACGAAAAAAGACAAAACAACUCCACGAUUCACCUAAAGCUCUAUUGAAAACGUUCGUCGAACUGUUGUCACAACAACCAUAUGCGAGGUGUUAGUCAUUUGAUAGGGUCGAGGACUUUUCCGUACUACUUCUCGAGACCGCCGUAAAUCUCCAGCAUUGGUUCCAAUUGGGUGUCAAGAUACGCAAGUCUACCUAGUGGGACGAUAACUGUGUCCUCAAAUUCAAGGCACUGACGUAGGUGGACACCCUACGCAAUAAUCCACUAGGUCUCCCCGGGGUCCGAUGGAACAAUUCCUAGACGACACGUUACGAUUAAGAACAAGCUUCUGCCGAGAACCGACCGCUGAAGUGACGUUUGGAGUUCGAAGAGGUCUUAAUGGGUGGGUGUUUGUAACUGGUGAACAAUGUAUAACGAUUAUUUAACGCACCCGAUCAAGGGACGACUUACUAAACGAGAAAAACAAAGGUUACAACAAAAAUACGAUCAGACGACAGGUCUCUACUACGUAAUUUAGACAUUUACUUAUAGGUAUGCGAGAAAAACUGGGUAACAAAUAGCACAUUACAUACGGACAAUUUCGAACAACAAGAAAAUCAUCAGUAUGUAAUCA
rnacentral:rRNA from 1 species